rnacentral:rRNA from 1 species
UAACACGUGGGUAACCUGCCCUUAAGUGGGGGAUAACAUUUGGAAACAGAUGCUAAUACCGCAUAGAUCCAAGAACCGCAUGGUUCUUGGCUGAAAGAUGGCGUAAGCUAUCGCUUUUGGAUGGACCCGCGGCGUAUUAGCUAGUUGGUGAGGUAAUGGCUCACCAAGGCGAUGAUACGUAGCCGAACUGAGAGGUUGAUCGGCCACAUUGGGACUGAGACACGGCCCAAACUCCUACGGGAGGCAGCAGUAGGGAAUCUUCCACAAUGGACGCAAGUCUGAUGGAGCAACGCCGCGUGAGUGAAGAAGGCUUUCGGGUCGUAAAACUCUGUUGUUGGAGAAGAAUGGUC